UUGUUGACAUUAUAAUUAAAUUCGAGGGAUUAAAUGUGUUUUAUUGUAAAUUUAGCAAUUUCAAGGGUUUAUAUAGAUAGCCAUGAAUAAUAAUGCAUAUGUGUUCUUAUAAUUUUACUUAUCAAUUAUUUCAAUAACACACACAAUAUACAAUAGCUGCACAAUAAUUAUUCUUAUCUUUAAUUAAAUUUUACUUUUUGUUUUCAAUUCAGUCUUUAUUUUCAUUUUCUAUAAAACAUUUGUUUUGUCUUAAACAUCGAUUUUUUUGUCCGUCUUAAAUCAGUUGAAUAAAUACGAUUUAUUUACAAUAUGAAGCAAUACUUUGUAAUUCUUUGGUGUUUUAUACUGCUCGCAAUUGUUAAUGAGCUUUCAGCUGAUCAAACUUGUGCACUGGGUAAAAAUGAGAUAUUUCUUACACUGGGUCCCAAUUGUGAUCGCGAGUGUGCAAAUUUGAAUAAACCCUGUGCGAAAAAGGGUGAACCACAUCGUACGGGUUGCUUUUGUCGCAGUGGAUUUGCUCGAGACUCGGAGGGAGUUUGUGUGCCAAUUUUGUUUUGUUAAAUAAUUAUUUUAAUACACUUAUAAUAUAAUAGAUAUUGUGAAUAAAUAAAACAAUUGCAAUUUGCAAUAAUAAGAAUAACAAUAAAGUAUGUAUUCGUUUCCUGAAAUUAAACUAAACUUUCACAUAAAA